GAUCAGAUGGCCGAGUGGUUAAGGCGUUGGACUGCUAAUCCAAUGGGCAUUGCCCGCGUGGGUUCGAAUCCCAUUCUGAUCG
rfam:Tetranychus urticae London genomic scaffold, scaffold_4